GUUAACAGCUGAGGUGAAACCUUUUUUUCUCAAGGUUUUUUUUUUCUCUUCGGCCAAAGCGCUUCAUGUUUUCCAAACCGCUACUCAGAAUCCUAUAGGUGGAGGGAAGGAACGCUGUGGGUGAAAGUAGGAGUCAGGUGAUGCUGUAGGACUUUGUGACUUAAAGGAUCGCAAGAGACGCUGAGGUACUGGACCCAGAAUUUGCUGUCGGAGAAAAGCCAUCUAACAGUGGGACUGCACCUCAUUCCGCUUGUGUAACAAGAAGCAAUCUGAUUAGCCAGCUCAUGUGUACACAGAUCCCCCGAGACUGGACUGGCAAACAAGUGGGAUAUUUGCAGAUUGCAUUUGGAAACCCCCCUCUAGAAUUCCUGCGUUUGCCACUGAAAUGACUAUGACCAACUUAAUCUGUCGUGGCAGAGAAGCAUUUUACUGGUACAGAGACAAAUGGAGCAGAAUAAAGAUAGCCGCAUUAAGGGGCUGCUAAACAUACUUCAUCAGUGGCUAUUAAAAGGGCAAUGUACUAGUAAUAUUGUCAAAUAAAAUCAAGUUUAUGGAAAUAAA